UCAAGGAAUUGGAGUCUGCCAACAAAUAUAUAUAUGAGUUUGGAAAUGGAUCUUUCUUCAGUUGAAACUUGAGAUGAGACCAUAGCCUUGCAAUACCUUGAUGACAGACUCAUGAGAGACUCUAAAAUAGAAGACACAACUAAGCUGUUUCCAGAUUCCUGAUCCAUGAAAAUGCCUUGUCUGUGUGUGGAGUGGGCAUGUGGAGAGGGAGCUGGAACACAAGGACCACAUGAUUUCAAGAAACACAAGGACCCAGAAGUUUUGGUGUGAAACAGGCCUCAAAAAUUGGUUGAUCUACAGAAAAAGUGUACAGAAAUAUUCACAGCAGCAUUACUCAUAGUAGCUAAGAAGUGGAAACAACCCAAAUGACCAGCAAUAAAUGAAUAAAGAAAGAAAAUAUGGUACA
rnacentral:lncRNA from 13 species